rnacentral:antisense_RNA from 1 species
CGGCGCCGGAAGCACGGGUCCGGGCCCUCCCGCGGGGCGGGUACUCGUCUCCCGGCCGAGCGACUUCAGCUUGGGGAACUGCCCCAUGGCCGCUCCCCAGCAGGACAGGGUAACCGCCGGAGUGGGGGGCUCCUUGUCCGUCCCAGCCCCCCCAACUCAGGCCCUCUCGCUGCCCCUGGCGACCACCGCGUGCGCCCUUCCCCAGGGCGGGCGCAGUCCUGGACGCCUCCGCCGAGCGUGACUGCCUGCAUUUUCUCUCCUUUCCCUUCCCAACCUCCGGAGAGAAGACAGCCCCAGAGCCGCUGUCUCCAUCCUCUGCUGAUGCCUGAUGUCUUUAUGUUGGCCUCGUCGUCCGCACUGCAGUGUGGCAGGGGCGUCCCUUGUUUCCUGCGGACUGAGGUGGGCGCCGGGCAUUUAGUAAACGAAGAAACCAAAACGGAGAAGGUUGGGAAUCAAACGUCUGUCAUACCUGCCACCAGCAGACAAGCGGCUUUGGGUACCUCCUGGACCCAAACACGAACUCAGCCCCUCCAGGAGCGCAGUCAUGGGCACCCACGUGGGAACAAUGCCAGUGGGAUGGGUGGCCACCGGAUGUUUCCGGGGCCCCUCAGAGGCCCAGCAGCGCAGGUCUUGGAGAAUGAAUGUGGGUCACUGGGCCGCGCUGCAGAGGGCCGGUCCUGAGUUGCUGCCUGGAGGAGAGGCCCAUGGCCAGCACUUGGCUUCACCUGGAGGAAGCAGCACGUGCUAAACCACGAGCGUUCAGGGUUUGUCUGUUUGAUAAAGGAUGCUGGCUUUGACACACCAACUGACAAGAAAGUCUUUCAUAGGUUGGAGCUGCUAGGUUGUGCCCCUGCCCCUCCUGAAAAUUAGCCACACGAAAGGAAGGGUCUGGAAGGUGGCAGGGAAGCCAGCAGAGACCAGGGAAGUGGCAGCAGCAUGGGGCAGGGGCACACAGGAAGGAGAUGGAGCUUGCGGGAGCCCCCACUGCCACUCCGACAGGGAGCCCUGCCCCGUGCCCUGCUGAUGUUGACACUGACCCCGGCUCUAUUAUUUCAGUUUUUCCUUGUAAUUUCUGAAAAUCUAGCAAUAAGUUGAGCAAUGAAAAAAAGUAAAAAAGUUAAAAUUGUGUUAGAAAUUAUGACUGUAAAGAAAUUUUG